rnacentral:rRNA from 1 species
GGGAACCCAAGCACAGGUGCUGCAUGGCCGUCGUCAGCUCGUGUCGUGAGAUGUUGGGUUAAGUCCCGUAACGAGCGCAACCCUUAUCCCUAGUUGCCAGCACAUUAUGGUGGGAACUCUAGGGAGACUGCCGGUGACAAACCGGAGGAAGGUGGGGAUGACGUCAGGUCAUCAUGGCCCUUACGGCCAGGGCUACACACGUGCUACAAUGGCGCGCACAGAGGGCUGCAAACCCGCGAGGGGGAGCUAAUCUCACAAAACGCGUCGUAGUCCGGAUCGCAGUCUGCAACUCGACUGCGUGAAGUCGGAAUCGCUAGUAAUCGUGAAUCAGAAUGUCACGGUGAAUACGUUCCCGGGCCUU